rnacentral:lncRNA from 1 species
AAGAAGAAUCACACUUGUUUGGUACUGAGCCACAUGAUAUGUCGCAACUCCCCCUGUGAGCAGGGACCAGGCAGGAGAAGAAAGUCACAUCAUCAUUCCCAAAGCAAAGCCUGGGGUUCUAUUUAAAAUCAUGCAACCAGGAAAAGCAGACAUGAGAAACUUACUACACUCACUCUGGAGAAGAUAAAGUGGAGUUCCAGAGGAUUAUUUUCUCACGUAACAUGUUUACAGACUUCGGAGGUUGAGGCGGGUGGAUCACCUGAGGUCAAGAAUUCAAGAGCAGCCUGGCCAACAUGAGGAAACCCUG